CCCAGACCUGCUGUUUUCAACUCUCUAGAGACAGCAGGAUGACCCCACACUCAUCUCUAGAGAUCGAACUUCAGACUCCCUCCAAAACCACUGAACCCCUCAACACACCGAAAGAGAUUACGGUGCACACCCUUAGAGGAAGCCGGAACAGGAUAACUCCCUCCACCAUCACAAAGACACAGAGGAGGAGGAACUAUCCAACACCCAGGGAGAGAGAACGAGUGACCUCAGUCGAACACAGUCAGAAAGAGGAGGUGGAAGAGGCAUUAGAUAGAGGAGGAGGUUACCCCAGAGGCCAUUCCUCCUGUUCAUGUGAGUAAGAAAGAGCAGAAGGCUUCUGAUCAGCCAAAUGGCAGGCAGAGGGAGAGCUCAUAGUGAUUCACACCCACAGAGAGAAAGACAACCCACACAACCUCUUGGUUGAGAUGAACCGCAGAGGUAGAGGCACAGGGCUAGCCUGCCUGCUCUGAUCCUCAAGUCAAUUGUAUUUAAAUUCAUGUUCAUUAAAGAUUUUUAUUCAAGAAUU